CCUACGGGUGGCAGCAGUGGGGAAUAUUGGACAAUGGGGGCAACCCUGAUCCAGCCAUGCCGCGUGUGUGAAGAAGGCCCUCGGGUUGUAAAGCACUUUCAGUGAGGAAGAACGCCUGGUGGUUAAUACCCAUCAGGAAAGACAUCACUCACAGAAGAAGCACCGGCUAACUCCGUGCCAGCAGCCGCGGUAACACGGAGGGUGCGAGCGUUAAUCGGAAUUACUGGGCGUAAAGCGCGCGUAGGUGGCUUGAUAAGCCGGUUGUGAAAGCCCCGGGCUCAACCUGGGAACGGCAUCCGGAACUGUCAAGCUAGAGUGCAGGAGAGGAAGGUAGAAUUCCCGGUGUAGCGGUGAAAUGCGUAGAGAUCGGGAGGAAUACCAGUGGCGAAGGCGGCCUUCUGGACUGACACUGACACUGAGGUGCGAAAGCGUGGGUAGCAAACAGGAUUAGAUACCCCUGUAGUC
rnacentral:rRNA from 1 species